AGAGUUUGAUCCUGGCUCAGGACGAACGCUGGCGGCGUGCUUAACACAUGCAAGUCGAACGAUGACGGCGGUGCUUGCACCGCCUGAUUAGUGGCGAACGGGUGAGUAACACGUGAGUAACCUGCCCCUGACUCUGGGAUAAGCGUUGGAAACGACGUCUAAUACUGGAUACGACUGCCGGCCGCAUGGUCUGGUGGUGGAAAGAUUUUUUGGUUGGGGAUGGACUCGCGGCCUAUCAGCUUGUUGGUGAGGUAAUGGCUCACCAAGGCGACGACGGGUAGCCGGCCUGAGAGGGUGACCGGCCACACUGGGACUGAGACACGGCCCAGACUCCUACGGGAGGCAGCAGUGGGGAAUAUUGCACAAUGGGCGAAAGCCUGAUGCAGCAACGCCGCGUGGGGGAUGACGGCCUUCGGGUUGUAAACCUCUUUCAGCAGGGACGAAGCGAAAGUGACGGUACCUGCAGAAGAAGCACCGGCCGACUACGUGCCAGCAGCCGCGGUAAU
rnacentral:rRNA from 1 species